rnacentral:tRNA from 1 species
CUUAUAUAGUUUUAAAUAAAACACUAGACUGUGGCUCUAAAAACAGGGGUUCAAACCCCCUUAUAAACC